CGAGUUUGAUUAUGGCUCAGAUUGAACGCUGGCGGGAUGUUUAUACAUGCAAGUCGAACGGCAGCACGGACUUCGGUCUGGUAUAUGAGCGGCGAACGGGUGAGUAAUGUAUCGGAACGCCUAGUAGCGGGGGAUAACUACGCGAAAGCGUAGCUAAUACCGCAUACGCCCUUCGGGGAAAGCGGGGGACCUUCGGCCUCGCACUAUUAGAGCGGCCGAUAUCGGAUUAGCUAGUUGGUGGGGUAACGGCUCACCAAGGCGACGAUCCGUAGCUGGUUUGGAGAGGACGACCAGCCACACUGGGACUGAGACACGGCCCAGACUCCUACGGAGGCAGCAGUGGGAAUUUUGACAAUGGGGGGAAACCCCGAUCCAGCCAUCCGCGUGUGCGAUGAAGGCCUUCGGGGUUGUAAAGCACUCUUUGCGUGAAAGAAACGGCACGGGAUAAUACCCCGUGCAACUGACGGUACCUUGCAGAAUAAGCACCGGCUAACUACGUGCCAGCAGUCAGUGGUAUUUGUAGGGUGCAAGCGUUAAUCGGAAUUACUGGGCGUAAAGCGUGCGCAGGCGGUUCGGAAAGAAAGAUGUGAACCAGAGCUUAACUUUGGAACCGCAUUUUUAACUACCGAGCUAGAGUGUGUCAGAGGGAGGUGGAAUUCGCGUAGCAGUGAAAUGCGUAGAUAUGCGGAGGAACACCGAUGGCGAAGGCAGCCUCCCGAUAAUUGACGCUCAUGCACGAAAGCGUGGGGAGUAAAAUACAGUAUUAGAUACUCCCGUAGUCACGCCUUAAACGAUGUCAACUUAGUUGUUGGGCCUUCGGCCUUGGUAGCGCAGCUAACGCGUGAAGUUGACCGCCUGGGGAGUACGGUCGCAAGAUUAAACUCAAAGGAAUUGACGGGGAAUUCCGCACAAGCGGUGAUGAUGUGGAUUAAUUCGAUGCAACGCGAAAACCUUACCUACCCCUUGACAUGUCUGGAAUCCCGAAGAGAUUUGGGAGUGCUCGCAAGAGAACCGGAACACAGGUGCUGCAUGGCUGGGUUGUCAGCUCGUGUCGUGAGAUGCUGGGUUAAGUCCCGCAACGAGCGUAAACUCCUUGUCAUUAGUUGCUACAGCUAAGCACUCUAAUGAGACUGCCGGUGACAAACCGGAGGAAGGUGGGGAUGACGUCAAGUCCUCAUGGCCCUUAUGGGUAGGGCUUCACACGUCAUACAAUGGUCGGGACAGAGGGUCGCCAACCCGCGAGGGGGAGCCAAUCCCAGAACCCGAUCGUAGUCCGGAUCGCAGUCUGUAACUCGACUGCGUGAAGUCGGAAUCGCUAGUAAUCGCGGAUCGCAUGUCGCGGUGAAUACGUUCCUGGGUCUUGUACACACCGCCCGUCACACCAUGGGGAGUGGGUUUUUACCAGAAGUAGUUAGCCUAACCGUAAGGAGGGCGAUUACCACUGUAGGAUUCAUGACUGGGUGAAGUCGUAACAAGGUAA
rnacentral:rRNA from 1 species